rnacentral:rRNA from 1 species
UACGGGGGGGGCAAGCGUUGUUCGGAAUUACUGGGCGUAAAGGGCGCGUAGGCGGUUUGCUAAGUCGGAUGUGAAAACUCUGGGCUCAACCCAGAGCCUGCAUCCGAAACUGGCAGGCUAGAGUUCUGGAGGGGGUAGCGGAAUUCCUGGUGUAGCGGUGAAAUGCGUAGAUAUCAGGAGGAACACCGGUGGCGAAGGCGGCUACCUGGACAGAAACUGACGCUGAGGCGCGAAAGCUAGGGGAGCGAAUGGG